CGGAAACGAUACUAGCUUGCUAGUAGGCGUCGAGUGGCGGACGGGUGAGUAACGCGUAGGAAUCUGCCUGAUAGUGGGGGAUAGCCCGAAGAAAUUCGGAUUAAUACCGCAUAAUCUAUUCGUAGUAAAGUGGGGGACUUUCGAGCCUCACGCUAUCAGAUGAGCCUGCGUAAGAUUAGCUAGUUGGUAGGGUAAAAGCCUACCAAGGCAACGAUCUUUAGCUGGUCUGAGAGGAUGAUCAGCCACAUCGGGACUGAGACACGGCCCGAACUCCUACGGGAGGCAGCAGUGGGGAAUAUUGGACAAUGGGGGCAACCCUGAUCCAGCAAUACCGCGUGUGUGAAGAAGGCCUGAGGGUUGUAAAGCACUUUCAAUUGUGAAGAAAAGUUAACGGUUAAUAACCGUUAGCCUUGACGUUAACUUUAGAAGAAGCACCGGCUAACUCCGUGCCAGCAGCCGCGGUAAUACGGAGGGUGCAAGCGUUAAUCGGAAUUACUGGGCGUAAAGCGUGCGUAGGCGGUUUAUUAAGUCAGAUGUGAAAGCCCCGGGCUUAACCUGGGAACUGCAUUUGAAACUGGUCAACUAGAGUAUGGUAGAGGAAAGUUGGAUUUUCUGGUGUAGCGGUGAAAUGCGUAGAUAUCAGAAGGAACAUCAAUGGCGAAGGCAGCUUUCUGGACCAAUACUGACGCUGAGGUACGAAAGCGUGGGUAGCAAACAGGAUUAGAUACCCUGGUAGUCCACGCCGUAAACGAUGAUAACUAGCCGUUGGGGGGAUUUACCCUUUAGUGGCGAAGCUAACGCGUUAAGUUAUCCGCCUGGGGAGUACGGCCGCAAGGUUA
rnacentral:rRNA from 1 species